CCACACCAGCCAGAUGACCCAUUUGAUUUUAGAGGAAGGCAUGCUGCUGGCGCGGGAUUCCAAAGAAGGCCUCCUUCCUCUGUGCCAAAUGCUGAAGAGGUGGCUGCACUGGUGGUUGUGGUAGCAUCUUUAAGGGAUUAAACCAUCUUUAAUUAGUAUUUAUUGAGAAAUAAGUCUGGAACUUAACCAGAUUCUUUCAGAAUAAGAUUGUUUCCUUCAGUUGGUUCGGAACUACUCUGUGAGGGAGACAUUUCCCCUAUUUUGCUGUUGUGGAAGCUGAGCCUCCGAAACAUAUUGCUGUCUUGACCAGGGUGUCCAGCUCACAAGUAGCAAACUUUGCCUCCUUUGGACCUUCUCUGCCCUGCUACUUAAAACUUAGGUUACUUUUCUUUCUAAUUAUAAGAGAUGUGCACAUAGUUAAAAAGUUGAAAAGAGCAUAAAAUAUUCAAUAAAAAGUAAAAGCCUCUUUUUCACCGCACCUCAAGCCCUGGCUUCCUCCCCCGAGGCAGCCACGAGUUACAGCUUCUUUUGCAGUUACCGGAGUCGCUUUCGACACUUGGCUGCUAGUUCUUGUUUGAUCCCCCUCCAGUAGUAUCUGCUGACUCCCUCUGCGAUGGGUGGGGGGUUCCUCACUCCUUCUCUCCCACUUCUGCCUCCCCAUUUUUUGUGGUGGUAUGUUAAGUUCUUCUUGUAUGUACCGUGGACUCACAUAAAUAAUAUCUUUCUUAUUUUGUAACAGCCGACCACAGACACCACCUGUGACUCUUUGUCAUAAAUGUGUGCAAACAAGUCCUUCCUUUCUUCUCUCUUCCCUCUCCUCCAUUCCCAUUUUGUUAAAUUAUGUUUGCAUUGCUUAGGUCUAGCAUAUGCAUAUUUGAUGUUCUAAGUCACUGCUUUGUGUGCAAGUUGAAUUUCCAGCGUUGGCCCUUUUCAUUCAUGUUUAUUGGUUUCCCUCAAGUGUCUGAAGAACCUUGGCUGUUGACUCACUUCUAUGAGUGAAGGGCCCAGGUGGGUAGUUUAUGUAGGUAGCUUGUGCGGGUUCCUUUGCUUGUGAAUGUGUAUCAUCCUGAAAGGUGU